rnacentral:rRNA from 1 species
CCUACGGGAGGCAGCAGUGAGGAAUAUUGGGCAAUGCCCGAAAGGGUGACCCAGCAACGCCGGUGGAGGAUGAAGGUCGUAAGAUUGUAAACUCCUGUUAGAGGGGAAGAAUAACUAAGUUUGGAGCUUAGUAUGACUGUACCCUCAGAGAAAGCCCCGGCUAACAACAACGCCAGCAGCCGCGGUAAU